UUCCGGUUGAUCCUGCCGGAGAUCACUGCUAUUGGGGUUCGACUAAGCCAUGCGAGUCCAGAGUGGUAAUGCACUCGGCAAACGGCUCAGUAACACGUGGGUAACCUACCCUUAGGACAGGAAUAACCCCGGAAAACUGGGGAUAAUGCCUGAUAGGUGGAGAAGUCUGGAACGGCUCUCCGCUCAAAUGCUCCGGCGCCUGAGGAUGGGCCUGCGACCGAUUAGGUUGUUGGUGGUGUAAUGGACCACCAAGCCUGAGAUCGGUACGGGCACUGAGAGGUGUAGCCCGGAGAUGGGGACUGAGACACGGCCCCAGGCCCUACGGGGCGCAGCAGGCGCGAAAACUCCGCAAUACACGAAAGUGUGACGGGGGAACCCCGAGUGCACUCACGCAAGUGAGCGCUUUUGUGAAGUGUAAAUAGCUUCAUGAAUAAGAGCUGGGUAAGACCGGUGCGAGCCGCCGCGGUAACACCGGCAGCUCGAGUGGUGAUCACUAUUAUUGGGCCUAAAGCGUCCGUAGCCCGGUUUGGUAAGUCCUUGGGCAAAUCCUGUCGCUUAACGGCAGGAAUUCUGAGGAUACUGUCAGACUUGAGGCCGAGAGAGGUCGGAGGUACUUCUGGGGUAGCGGUGAAAUCCUAUAAUCCUCGGAGGACCACCAGUGGCGAAGGCGGUCGACUAGAACGUGCCUGACGGUGAUGGACGAAAGCUGGGGGAGCGAACCGGAUUAGAUACCCGGGUAGUCCCAGCCGUAAACGAUGCGGGCUAGUGUUGGGGUAGCCACGAGCUACUCCAGUGCCGCAGAGAAGUUAUUAAGCCCGCCGCCUGGGGAGUACGGUCGCAAGACUGAAACUUAAAGGAAUUGGCGGGGAGCACCACAAGGGUGAGGCUGCCGUUUAAUUUGAUCCACGCCG
rnacentral:rRNA from 1 species